GGGAUCGUACAGGGUUAUUUGCUGAAGUGAGAAUUGUUAGUGAUUUUCACAUUUAAAGAGGCCCUGUCACCGUUUAAGGGCUUUGCCGAAUUCGCAAAGUCCUCAAACGGUGACAUCGCCACUGUGGGUCCGGUGGCCGAAGGGGGCAGGUAAAGGUGAGUAGACGCCACCUUGGUCCGGCGUCGUCGUCCUCAGCGUUGACCUCACUGCUCUACUCUCGCACAGAAUCCCAAACUCGCACGAGCGACCUCAAGUCAUAAUGGGAGUUGAAGUUGACCACAAAAGUGCAGUGUAGGAUUGUCUACUGAGCCCAUCAUGUCAGCAGGAAGCCAGGGGUAAGCACCAUAGAUGGUGGUCAUGAAAACACUGCACGUACCUAGAAAGAGAAUCUAUUAACUAUGUUAAUACUGUCUGCAGAGGCCAAACAAGCUUUUGUUUUUGUCGUGACCACCUACUGGGUCUGCAAAAUAUGUCAAUGCUAUUUAAAGUGACAUUGUCAUGCAAACAUA